UAUUUGCAGCCGUAUUGAGGUUGCUGUUUUUAAUAUUAAAGACAAGCAUUAAAAGGGAAGUGAGUGAUUGAAAUUUGAAGAUUUAAUAAUCAAAUUCAGAAAUCGAAAAUCUUGCGCUGUACCCGCAACUGUAAGCUAAUAAGCUUGUUGUUAUCUACAAACCAUUGUCUGCUACCGCGGAUGAGAAGGUAAACAACAAGACGCAAGCCAGGAGACCUGCCUAAUACAAUUUGUAUCA
rnacentral:ncRNA from 2 species